GAAUGAGCUCUGUAUGGUGUAUCUUGAUGCCAGAUUUGGAAAUACAGAAAAGUAGAGCAUACGGAAAAAAGGAGGUGCACCUGAAUGGUAGGCAGUCAGUUUCCACCUUUCCUACAGGGACCGCCUCCAUAACAAACUAUUUAUCGGCUGAAGUGGAAGAUGCCUUAAAGCAGAAAGGACUAAAGUGCCCUUGGCCAUAUCAAAGGAAGAGGAUGAAAAGACAGAACUAUCCUUCCAUACCCAGGAGAUUUUGUAAAUUGAUGAUGCAUGUGAUUGUGGCGAUGGCGGCCUGUCCGAGUAGCUGAGGAAGGGGAGUCAGUGGCUGGGAAUUUGGAGGGGUGGAAGAGAGGAUCCACAAGCAUGCCAUUCACAACAGCUUCUCCUUCUCUUCCUUUUGAAUUCAGUGAUUGGAGGUUCAAACAUUUGGUUCAUUGGCUCCCGAGUCGUGCUCUGCUAUCUUUGCCAUCGCAAUCAUGCUGCCCAACUCUUUCGUUUGUGUUGUUUUUCAAUAUCCAAAUUUAAAGAUAAAGUCAUAAAGGACAUUCAUUUCCUUUGUCCUUCCCGUUGGAUCAAGAAAUCAAAGUACUCUUCUCUAGAUAGUGAUAAUACGUCGAGUUAGUCAAUAUGUUAUGUAGUAUAUUACAUGUAAUAGUAGACUCCCUCCGUCACGAAAGAACUUCCUAGGAGGGAGUGACACGUGUUUUAAGAAAAAAAAAAUACUGUAUUGAGAGUAGAGAAAAGA